ACUCCUACGGGAGGCAGCAGUGGGGAAUAUUGGACAAUGGGGGCAACCCUGAUCCAGCCAUGCCGCGUGUGUGAAGAAGGCCUUUGGUUGUAAAGCACUUUAAGCAGGGAGGAGAGGCUAAUGGUUAAUACCCAUUAGAUUAGACGUUACCUGCAGAAUAAGCACCGGCUAACUCUGUGCCAGCAGCCGCGGUAAUACAGAGGGUGCGAGCGUUAAUCGGAAUUACUGGGCGUAAAGCGAGUGUAGGUGGCUCAUUAAGUCACAUGUGAAAUCCCCGGGGCUUAACCUGGGAACUGCAUGUGAUACUGGUGGUGCUAGAAUAUGUGAGAGGGAAGUAGAAUUCCAGGUGUAGCGGUGAAAUGCGUAGAGAUCUGGAGGAAUACCGAUGGCGAAGGCAGCUUCCUGGCAUAAUAUUGACACUGAGAUUCGAAAGCGUGGUAGCAAACAGGAUUAGAUACCCCUGGUAGGCAAGCG
rnacentral:rRNA from 1 species